CAGAUUUCUUUUUCCUCACCAUGUGGUUGAUCUUUCUUAAAGUUAGAGAUACUCACAGUGUUUUCGGAUGGCUCUCGAUUUGCUUUUGCUACUAGGUUUGAAUUUGUAUAUUCUUUCCUUUCCGAAGAGCUAGUAGUGGUUUCUUGAUUAAUCUCAGUGUAGCCAUCAUUGAAAUCGGAUGAGCAUGUAGUUUCUGAUUCAGAAUCCUCUAAUGAGUGCUCGAUCUCUUCUUCCGAUUCAAUCAUUUUAGAUGACCUGUCUAAACACUCAGUAAAAACAUUAGCGCUUUCAUCCAUGGUUGGACUUUCCGUUAAGUCGCCAGGAUGAGUAUAUGAAGAUAGUUUGCU
rnacentral:lncRNA from 1 species